ensembl:snoRNA Small nucleolar RNA SNORA3/SNORA45 family
AGCGAGACUAGAGUCACAUCCUGAUACUCCUUGUUGUCUUGGUGUGCUAGAGUCCUCGCAGAGCAAACUUCUUUGCUUAUUCAUUGGCUGCUGCUUUCCAUUGCUCAGCCAAUCACCAGCUCUGAAACAGAU